UACGUAGGGUGCAAGCGUUGUCCGGAAUUAUUGGGCGUAAAGAGCUCGUAGGCGGUUUGUCGCGUCGGCUGUGAAAUCCUCCGGCUCAACUGGAGGCCUGCAUUCGAUACGGGCAGGCUAGAGUUCGGUAGGGGGAGACUGGAAUUCCUGGUGUAGCGGUGAAAAUGCGCAGAUAUCAGGAGGAACACCGGUGGCGAAGGCGGGGUCUCUGGGCCGAUACUGACGCUGAGGAGCGAAAAGCGAGGGGGAGCGAACAGG
rnacentral:rRNA from 1 species